GACGUAGGGCGCGAGCGUUGUCCGGAAUUAUUGGGCGUAAAGAGCUCGUAGGUGGCUUGUCGCGUCUGCCGUGAAAGCCCGUGGCUUAACUACGGGUCUGCGGUGGAUACGGGCAGGCUAGAGGCUGGUAGGGGCAAGCGGAAUUCCUGGUGUAGCGGUGAAAUGCGCAGAUAUCAGGAGGAACACCGGUGGCGAAGGCGGCUUGCUGGGCCAGUUCUGACGCUGAGGAGCGAAAGCAUGGGGAGCGAACAGG
rnacentral:rRNA from 1 species